GAGCAGACUAUGGAAGGGCUGGUCAAGAUCAGUCAAGGACAUAGAUGACUCACCUCGUCUAUCUUUUUGGAAGAGUAGAGGGCAUGGCUGUUAGUUCAAACAGAGGUAGAGUUGGCAGAAAAGGCCCAUACAAGGAUGCCCCAUGACAGACUGUCAGUCUGGUGAGGUUACUGACAUACCAUUGUACAAGGGGCAAGGACAUCAGGACUCAUACCGUCCAUGACAGCAGCAGCAUCUUUCCCCACUCUUUAUUCGCCAGAGACCUCCUUGGCUUGUCCCGGAAUAUAGCACCCCCUUGGAAGUGAUGUAGGCCUUUCAAAACCAAUUCUAGAAAAGCGCAUUCUCUCUGCUUACCCUUCCUCAUGGCGAGGCAGGCAGUCAAAUCCAGCUGUUGAAUAACUAGCACACGAAGGGUAAAAAUUCUCAAAUGGUGGGUAAAAACUCCAACUCAGUUGUGUUUUCCCACCGAAGAGAACCCCUUGGAAAUCAAGACUGAAAUGUAUGUCACAAUAACACAUUUGCUGCUUCCUUUGCUGCUUCUCUUCCGGAUGUUUGUGAAUUUUUGUUUCACCCGGACGAGGCCGGCUUGCGAGGGAAAGGUGAUGCCGUUCGUCCACUAGGGGGAGACUUGCCCACACUUAUAACCACUCCUUGGGGCGGCCUGCCCCUGGCUUUAGAUAAGAAUUGGAACUUGAUUACCGCAGCAGCUCAUUUACUCCGUUUCCUUGGCUGAGCGAGGCAUUUGAGUUUGAUUAACAAGAUUUUCUACUUGACGUUCAACUCUCAUUUUCCGAAGCGCUGAGGACGGCACUUCCGUCCCUCUCCAUCACCUCUGCCAACUUACGCCUCCGCCUCCGGGCCUCGGAGCCGCCUUGGCAAUGGCCAGUCCUGCGAUUGGUUCCCAGCGGUGAAGGAGCUACUGACUCCGACCUUGUCUGAAGGUUACUUCUCAAGUUCGUGCAUUUUCUCAGCGAUGUGCAUUCAAAUUAGGUAUGGAAUUGUGUGUCUUCUAUCAAGAUUUGCAACACUCAUAAACACACACACACACCCUUCGCUGAGUUUCAUUUUUCUGACUUUGGAAAUCAUUUGAAUCAGAAGAGUUUUCUUUGUUAAACCGGAAGGUGGAGGGCCUGAGUGUCACAUAACGUGCCCACCCUUCUUACUCCUCCUUGAAUUUGAAUUUGUAGUGGGCCUAUGCAGUUGAAGAAUAGUCAGGGAGCUCAGCUAUAGAUCUUUAUUUUCUUUUAUUACCCUUAACACGUACUAUUUGAUUCAGAAGAGGGACGACCAUCCUUACCUGCCACUAUUCUCCAUAUCUGGGGACAC
rnacentral:lncRNA from 1 species